rnacentral:rRNA from 1 species
GACGAACGCUGGCGGCGUGGAUUAGGCAUGCAAGUCGGACGGUAGGGCUUUAUCGUAAGAUAGAGUUUGAGAGUGGCGAACGGGUGAGUAACACGUAGGAAUCUACCCUUAAGACGGGGACAACCCAGGGAAACUUGGGCUAAUACCGGAUGAGAGUGCGAGAGAUUGCAUUUAAAAGGAUGGCGAAAGUUGUCGCUUAGGGAUGAGCCUGCGGUCUAUUAGUUAGUUGGUGAGGUAAGAGCUCACCAAGGCGAUGAUAGAUAGGCGGCCUUAACGGGUGGUCGCCCACACUGGGAUUGAGAUACGGCCCAGACUCCUACGGGAGGCAGCAGUCGAGAAUAGUCUACAAUGGCCGGAAGGCUGAUAGUGCGACGCCGCGUGAACGAGGGAGCCCUUCGGGGUGUAAAGUGCUUUUAGAGAGGAUGAGGAAGGACAGUACUUUCUAAAUAAGCCUCGGCUAACUAUGUGCCAGCAGCCGCGGUAAGAUAGCGUACU